CAAUAUCGCUGCCCCUUGGCUCUAAACUGCUGAUGUUAACAACACUCAGGGCGCCUUGUGUGCCCACGACAGGUAUACCCAGAUCCGGAGCAUUUCCCUUCCUUUCUUCUCUCUUUCAAAUGUCUAUCUUCCCCCUUCCAAAGUGCACUGAUUGCUCAGCACGGAGGCCAGCAAGCAACCACCACCGGCGAGCCUCAUCUGACCUGCUGCCGUGUAUAGCUGCCUAAAAGGAUGUGGAGAAAUUGGAACCCUUUACACUAUCGGCGGGGAUGCAAAAUGGGGCAGCUGCUGUAGAAAAAGCUGCCGGGACCAUGGAGAUCGUGUACGUGUACGUCAAGAAGCGAAGCGAGUUCGGGAAACAAUGCAACUUCUCCGACCGCCAGGCGGAGCUGAACAUCGACAUCCCGCCCAACCCCGAGCUGGCCGAGCAGUUUGUGGAG